CAGACAGGACUGUCUAGAAAGAGGAGCAGACCUGGUCAUCAUAAACAGCAGAGAGGAACAGGUGAGAGAGAGAGAGAGAGAGAGAGAGAGAGAGAGAGAGAGGAGAGCAGACAGGACUGUCUAGAUAGAGGAGCAGACCUGGUGAUCAUAAACAGCAGAGAGGAACAGGUGAGAGAGAGAGAGAGAGAGAGAGAGAGAGAAGAGAGGAGAGAGGAGAGCAGACAGGACUGUCUGGAUAGAGGAGCAGACCUGGUAAUCAUAAACAGCAGAGAGGAACAGGUGAGAGAGAGAGAGAGAGAGAGAAGAGAGGAGAGAGGAGAGCAGACAGGACUGUCUAGAAAGAGGAGCAGACCUGGUGAUCAUAAACAGCAGAGAGGAACAGGUGAGAGAGAGAGAGAGAGAAUACUUUUCAUCAGUAAACUAAUGUGUGUGCAGUUUUUUAUAAAUAUAUUUAAAAAGUUAGUUUUUUAUCUUUCUCAACAAUAGACAUUUGUCUUCAACCUCCACCUGAGAGCCUGGAUUGGUCUGACUGACUGUUACUGAGGGGAUCUGGAAGUGGGUGGACGGCACAACACUGACCACAGGGUACUGGAGCGCAGGACAGCCUGAUGAUAAUGGGAAAGAGGACUGUGUUGAGAUAUACUAUGGACAAGAUGACCCUGUAAAGACAUGGAAUGAUGAAAAUUGUCACAAAUAUCAUGACUGGAUAUGUGAGAAAGUGGUAUAACGAUAAUCCACAGUAACAAACAUUCUCUCUCUCUGUCUCUCUCUCUCUCUCUCUCUCUCUCUCAAUUCAAGGCCUUUAUUGUCAUGGGAAACAUAUGUUAACAUUGCCAAUGCAAGUGAAGUAGAUAAUAUACAGAAGUGAAAUAAACAAUAAAAAUGAACAGUAAACAUUACACUCACAGAGGUUCCAAAAGAAUAAAGACAUGUCAAACGGCGCCCCACAUCAAAAUAUUUUUCAACCAGCACAGACUUUGUAAAAUCACAAAUAUCGGUUAAAUAUUAACUUACUUUUUAAAAAUCUUCCUCUGAUUUGCAAUCCAAAGGGUCCCAACUACAACAUGUAUGGUCGUUAUGCAAGAUAAAAUCCUUCUUUAUAUCCCAAAAAGUCAGUUUAGUUGGAACCAUCGAUUUGAGUAAUCCACUCGUUCAACAUGCAGAGAAAGGAAUCCUAAAAGCUACGGCUAAACUUUGUUAAAACAAGUCCAAAUACGUUUCUAUUGAAUCCUCAGAUACCCUAAAAUGUAAUUCAACUAUAACAUUUCAUACGGAAAGUAGUAUGUUCAAUAGAAAAGCUAAAUUAGCAGGUGCGCGUCUUCUUCGUCACGCACCAGUCUGAUUUCCAACUCUGACUCCCAGUACUAAAACUCAAAAGUCUUCCUUGUUUGGGAAAAAACAAAACUGAAACCUUGAACAACGACUGUUGAUAUCUAGUGGAAGCCAUAGGAAUUGCAAUCUAUGAGCUGGAUUUGUAUACGACCCUAUUACCUUCCAUUGUAAGAGCAUGGGCUCUCAAAAAAAAAAUACAUUCUGUUUGGAUUUUCUUUGGAUUUUCUCCUACCAUAUCUAUUGUGUUAUAGUCUCAUACAUUAUUUUAACAUUUCUCCAAACUUCAAAGGGUUCUCCAUCCAAUGGUACCACUUAUAUGCUUAUCCUGGCUUCUGGGCCGGAGUAACAGGCAGUUUACUUUGGGCACGUCAGUCAGGCGGAAAUUCAGAAAAAAAGACCCUAGCCUGAAGAAGUGAUGAUUCCACCUUCUGGUUAAAGUGAGAGAUGAACUCAACAUAGAGGUGAAAUUGAGACUCUGUCUCAAAACACAUUGGAGAACAGAAUCCAGGGGGACUGACCUUGGACCUUCUCUAAUAGGGUUGAAAGGAGGAGAGGAGGUAGGAGAGGAAUCUAGGAAAAAAUAAUUGAGAUAUAGCCUUAGUGUCAGAGAGAGACAUAGAGGAGGAAGAAAAUUAAGAGUGAGGAAGAGAGCAAAAAUAAUAUGAAUAAUUGUUGUGUUUAGAUUAAGAGGAGAGUAUGUAGACAUACUGUACUCUGUAAAAUGAUUCUUCAUUGGUUUUAUUAGAAACAUGUCAUGUGAUUUGCCAUAGACUUAUGCUUAGUAAAAAAAAGUGGAACCAAUUAUGAACCAAUGCUUAUCACUUUAGUGAUAUGAAUAGCCAAGUCACUUUUGAAUAAAAAAAGGAACAAUUGUCUUUAAUUAACAAGGUCUACCAGC
ensembl:lncRNA